rnacentral:rRNA from 1 species
UACGAAGGGGCUAGCGUUGUUCGGAUUUACUGGGCGUAAAGCGCACGUAGGCGGAUCGUUAAGUCGGGGGUGAAAUCCUGGAGCUCAACUCCAGAACUGCCUUCGAUACUGGCGAUCUCGAGUCCGGAAGAGGUGAGUGGAACUCCUAGUGUAGAGGUGGAAUUCGUAGAUAUUAGAAGAACACCAGUGGCGAAGGCGGCUCACUGGCCCGGUACUGACGCUGAGGUGCGAAAGCGUGGGGAGCAACAGG